rnacentral:rRNA from 1 species
UACGGGGGGAGCAAGCGUUGUUCGGAAUCACUGGGCGUAAAGGGCGCGUAGGCGGCUUUAUAAGUCGGGGGUGAAAGCCUGUGGCUCAACCACAGAAUUGCCUUCGAUACUGUAGAGCUUGAGACCGGAAGAGGUAAGUGGAACUGCGAGUGUAGAGGUGAAAUUCGUAGAUAUUCGCAAGAACACCAGUGGCGAAGGCGGCUUACUGGUCCGGUUCUGACGCUGAGGCGCGAAAGCGUGGGGAGCAAACAGG